rnacentral:tRNA from 1 species
UCCCCUGUAGCUCAGUUGGUAGAGCGGGUGACUGUUAAUCACCAUGUCAGCGGUUCGAGUCCGUUCGGGGGAG